rnacentral:rRNA from 1 species
UACGUAGGGAGCAAGCGUUGUCCGGAAUUACUGGGUGUAAAGGGAGUGUAGGCGGGACAGCAAGUCAGAUGUGAAAACUAUGGGCUUAACCCAUAGACUGCAUUUGAAACUGCUGUUCUUGAGUGAAGUAGAGGUAAGCGGAAUUCCUAGUGUAGCGGUGAAAUGCGUAGAUAUUAGGAGGAACAUCAGUGGCGAAGGCGGCUUACUGGGCUUUUACUGACGCUGAGGCUCGAAAGCGUGGGGAGCAAAC